rnacentral:lncRNA from 10 species
AACAGCAACAACAAUUAACACAGAGAGAAGACUUCUGUGACCAAAUGCAGGGACUUCUUCCCAUCAACAAACAAGCAAUUCUGUAGCGGACACUAGCUGGGUGUCCUCUAAUUUAAUUCUGAAGCUAUCUACCUGGAGGCAGCCUCAGAUCCCACAGGUUGAGGACUCAGUCACCAAAACUGACAGCCCCUUCAGACAGUCACAAGUCUGGGCCUCUGGAACUUCUGACCGACUGGCUUCAAGUUGGGGUUCCCAAGACCCCCCUCUUUUGGUUUGAUUAAUUUCCUAAAGAUGAAGCGGAUCCCUUGAUCCCGAGAGACACAGCUGAGAUGUCUUUGUGUCCUCACAACCCUCAGCAGGAUGACUUUUGAAAGCAGAUGCUUCAUUAAAUGUUUCAUAAGUGAACAAAGGCUUGGACAGUGACCUGAGAGGUAAGGAAUGUUUACUCCCAUUCUGCAAAGGAGGUAGCUGAGGCCUGGAGAGGUUCUUAGUGGCAGAACUGGAACUAGAAUAGAACCCUGAGCCCUGUGCGCUCCUUCACCCUGUCUUCAGUGGGGUGCCAACUAGGCCUGACCCCAUCCUUUCUGACGUCCUGGUAUAUUUUUCCCAUCCGCACUGGGCUAAUGAUCUUACUUAACCCCC